rnacentral:rRNA from 1 species
GUCCACGCUGUAAACGAUGCAUACUAGGUGUUGGCCUUUCGGGGCCAGUGCUGCAGUUAACGCAUUAAGUAUGCCACCUGGGGAGUACGUCGGCAACGAUGAAACUCAAAGGAAUUGACGGGGGCCCGCACAAGCGGUGGAGCAUGUGGCUUAAUUCGAUGCAACGCGAGGAACCUUACCUGGGCUAAAUCCACUGCGCUACCUCUGGAAACAGAGGGUUCUCUAUGAGACGCAAUGGAAGGU